rnacentral:rRNA from 1 species
GACGAACCGUCCAAACGUUAUUCGGAAUCACUGGGCUUAAAGGGUGCGUAGGCGGCGCGGCAAGUUGGGUGUGAAAUACCUCGGCUUAACCGAGGAACUGCGCCCAAAACUGCCGUGCUUGAGGAAGAUAGAGGUGAGCGGAACUUAGGGUGGAGCGGUGAAAUGCGCUGAUAUCCUAAGGAACACCGGUGGCGAAAGCGGCUCACUGGAUCUUUUCUGACGCUGAGGCACGAAAGCUAGGGGAGCGAACGGG